rnacentral:rRNA from 1 species
AUGAAGCCGGAAUUGCUAGUAAUGGCAGGUCAGCAUACUGCCGUGAAUACGUUCCCGGGCCUUGUACACACCGCCCGUCACACCAUGAGAGUUGGGGAUACCCAAAGCCCGUGAGCCAACUGUAAAGAGGCAGCGGUCUAAGGUAGAAUCAAUGAUUGGGGUGAAGUCGUAACAAGGUAGC